rnacentral:rRNA from 1 species
UACGAAGGGGGCUAGCGUUGUUCGGAUUUACUGGGCGUAAAGCGCACGUAGGCGGAUUGUUAAGUCAGGGGUGAAAUCCUGGAGCUCAACUCCAGAACUGCCUUUGAUACUGGCAAUCUUGAGUCCGGAAGAGGUGAGUGGAACUCCUAGUGUAGAGGUGGAAUUCGUAGAUAUUAGGAAGAACACCAGUGGCGAAGGCGGCUCACUGGUCCGGUACUGACGCUGAGGAGCGAAAGCCAGGGGAGCAAACGGG